UGCAUAUCACCAGUACUAAGGUUUGCUCCUUCAACAAAUAUCGGUAGAUAAACUUUUGAACCUCUGCUUAGAUUCUUUAUGUCACAGUUCCCACCAUUCUCCCUUCCAGGAAUGGUUCUAGCUGCUCCAUUUGCAAUUUUGUGCCAUUCAGCAGUUCCCUCUUGGAUCUGCAUGACAUUGUAAUUGUAUUCAUUACAAACAUGGCACUUCUACCAAACAGGUGGAAAGAUGUACUUUAGAUCUGCUAGCUAAUAUAUGCAUAUAGAACUCUUAACUUGUGUUGUAGGAAAUACAAAGUGUAGAAUGUUCUUAUAUGCACUUCCCACAGUGAAAAACAACAUUAUUAAAAGAUGGUAGUGGAUGGUUGCAAACCCUCAGUUUGUUGUAGGUGAUGCAAAUUUUACAUUUAAUCCAAGGCAUUAAAGUGAAAAAAUUGACCAUGCCUUCCCAAGUAAGCAGUUCUCAGGGGUCGGUAAAUGAACAAGGGGCCUCUGGUGCAGAACUUCACACAGUUUAAGGGUCUCUUGGUUUGUCUCAGCCAAUCUUUUCUCCCUUUCAUUCCAUAUAUUAAGAAGUUCAACUGAUGGUGCAGUUCCUACCAUACCAGGAUGAGUUAAUCCUGGAAAACGAACACCUGGUAUACACAAAUUGGAAUAUUUAAGGAUCAAAAACUGGAAAGCUUCAUUCCCAGCAACAACAAGAAACUUUUUUAAAAAGCAACUGCCAAGAGCUUGUACGAGUACAACAAAAAACUUUACCUGGUAUCUGAGGGGAGUAUGCAUAAAUUCCUUCAAAAUACCAAAUGGCUUUUCUUGCGCUAGGGAAGUGGUCAGUUAAGAAUCCACCACCAUUCUCCCUUUCGAGUAUUGCAGUAUAAUCCCACUCAUCGCCAGGAAGUGGUCCAAGGUUGCAGAUCUCUACUACUAGAAGAUCACCAGGUGAAGCUGGAACCCCUUCAGAAUCAACUAUUCUUAGCGGACCACUAAGAUAAUGAGCCUGUGGAACAUCCGUAGUCAGUUUGGCUCACAAUGAAAGCACUGGAACAAAAGAAAAAUUAAAUGAUAUCUUCACAAGAAAAAUACAAACUUACAAUUGUGAAAUCCAUGGAUUUCAUAUCAUCUGCAGAGUUAUCAUCCCUAACCCGGCCUCCACUCCAAUCAACCAUCUCAACACGGAACAAUUCCCCUUCAGUUACAUCAGCAACAGGAGGGAUAUCUGGAUGCCAGCAGUUAUGGAGAGGGACCUUUUGCUCCCAUGGCUGCUUCUUCACAUUUAUGGGCACUACUAAUCUUGGGGGUCAGAGGAGCCAUGUUUCAUUACAGUAUCUCCUCAAGAGCUUCCCAUUGGAAGCUUGGUGCACCUUUAUAAUGGCAGGAUAUGCAUGCUGACGAGACUGCUAAUGGUAAAAACAGGAAGGCAAAAAGGAAUCCCAGGAAAACAUUUUUCAAACAAACUUCCACUUGGGAAGCUCACUUGAAUAUGAGCUGUGGAUCUGAUAACUAGAAUUCAUGUUCCGUUUUCAAAGAAAUAUUCCAAAAGGAAUAGGCACAGUUUUACCUUGCAAUACUAUUCAUGUGUUUAGAGUUGCUUUACAUAACCGAGUCACUAUCAGGUAAGAAAUUUCUUGUUGGUCCCACCCAUCCCUAUAGACUAUCCAGAGCUAAGACGUUGAGAUAUUUUCUUGUACAACAGCAGUACCAGCCAACUUGGCUUGUCUUAUUCAUUUUUGUUUUCCACAGGUAACAUGCAACACUUGGGUACUUGAGCACAUUUUGUUUUUGGCAAUACUCCAACAUAAAUUGAAUGUCCAUUUCCCCGCAACACUAAGGGCUGUCACCAAACAAAGUUUGUCUUCCUGCUAAACUGGACAACACUAUAGAAGCAGGGAUAUUUAAAGCUGGCUUCUUUUAAGAAUAUCUGCAACAUGCUAGUAGGUAGCUAGAAAUUUUAUAUUAGUUGCAAGAAAUAGAAUUCAGAAGUAAUAAUACAAUAAACUACAUUAGUAUUUCAUUUUUAAAAGUUAUGGGCAGUACUGUAUAACUUUCCCAUUACAGGAUAUAGUUAUUACUCUUGAGCCAACAGUGGGAAUACAAAUUUACCAGAGCGUACGAAAUACAAUUAACACAAUAUUAUUAAUCCAAAUCCCUAUUCAGCAAAUUGUUGGUACAACCUGGAAAUAAUAAAAAAAUGCAUAAAUCGAGAGUUAAAGGCUCAACUUAUUUCCACAAAAAAUGAGCAUUUUAGCACUUAAUUACCCAUGCUAUCACCAAAGCUGCUUCAUCUUACUAAACUUUACAUGUCAUAAAGCUUGUGCUUUCAGCUCCUAACAUAAACUUUAUGACAUGUAAACUCAAACCUAGCCGAAUCCAUCCAAAUUGGGGCCUCUAUCUGAAACUGUUACAAAUUGGUCUAAUAUCUGACAAUGUGAAUCUUGCAAGUUAGGUAAAUCUGUUACAUCAUUCAUUCAAGGGACGACAUGGUAUUUCUACUUUUGCUGGCAACACCGAUCAUAGUACCACUCUCCUUUAGUGACUUUCACAUGAAUCACCACCCUAAAUAAGUAAGUUUCUAGAGAGGGAAAUUAAAUUUCAACAUUAUUCAUAGCACGACUUUGUAGCAAUACAGAAAAUAUGACACCACUCAGGUGUUUCUAUCCUCAUACAUGAUUAUUGUCUGACAAACUAAAGAUCAACAUUCUGGAUUCCAGGUCACAUACAUAGAUGAUUCCUGGAAGUUGGAAAUAUAAAGAUGAUUAUUUAUAUGUAUAAGUAGAACGAUACUCAUCAAUUUCUAGAUGAUAUGCAUCUCUAGGGUACACUUCUACCACUUUGGUCUUGGGUGACAGGAAGGUGUCCAUCAUUUGAGCAGCUCAGAAGAUCUGGAAGUCUUAUCAGUUUUGGUCCUGGUCUCCCUUUCAAGUGUUUUGGCCUUAUAUCCUACAACAGCAAUUGAAAUAUUAUGCAUCGAAGUUUUGAGAAAAAAGUAUAAGUUUAGAAGAAUAUGUACAAAGGAAGAAUAUACUCUCUUGACUUGUCUAUUGAUAUUGAACCCUUGGAACUUUAAAAUAAAGCAAUGCUACCAGCAGACUAGUAUAUAUUUGACUAAUUUGCUACAGAGUAGAAAAGGUCAAGUUCCAUCUUGAAAUAGUAAGCAAAAUAGGUCUGAUCCUUACUGAAAAAUGAUAUGUUUGCUCUGGCUAUUGUGACUGCUUCAUAUAAAAUCCAGGAAGUAAUAUUUACAAGUUGUUCUUCUAGUUUGAUCAUAACAGCAACCGUCAGGGGAAAGUGUGUUUUAGAAUGUUGAGGCUCUUGUAUUACUGACUGCUAUAUAAGAAAAUAAUUUGGUGAUACAUGCCACUGAUGCACUGACCAAGUGCUAUCAGGCUUACUCAUAUGAUCUACUUUUAACAAAAUGUAUAAAGUAAUAUAAAUCUACUCAUGAGUCACAUGCACUACCUUUUUCUCUCUCCAAUAACAUCAAUUCACUAAUGUUUGGUGUAAAAUUUAAUCUCAUCAGCAUCAACAUUGAUCCGCUGUGAUUUGAACAGCCUACUCAUGAGUCACAUGCACUACCUUUUUCUCUCUCCAAUAACAUACCAGCAGCUCAUGUUAGAUACUUAGAUACAAUAUCAGACAAAAGGAAUAAGUCAUGAUCUAUAAAAAAAUAUUUUAACUAAUCUAAUAAUUUUAAGGAGCAAAGGAAAUUGGUGUUGGUCUGUUGAAGGCAAACCUGGUCAAAUAUUGCUGUAGGGAUGGCAAGAGUUGCCACUGCAUUAGGAGAGUCUACUAUUCCAGAUAUCCUACCCUCACAUGGACAGCAAGAUAGUAAGAGAUAUACCUGUAUAAAAUCCCCAAUACCCGAUGUUAAGAUAAUAUUCGGCACAAAUGAUACUUCAAGAUAACAGUUAGCUACCCAACUGCCUACCUGCUCCUUGGAGUACCCAAAUCUGGAAAGGUACUCAAUGGCAUUCAGAACUGCACGCUUGUAGGCAACUGAUGCAUCAAGGAAAUGCUGCUUCCCAGACUCAUCCACACUGAUGCCCUCAAACACUAACCAUUCUGAGAAGCGUGGCUCGACAGGACCUAUCUCGAAGAUAGGAUUCACAUGUAGUGACGUUGGACCAACUGGGGUCAUGUAUUCCUUCAUCCCACCUCUUAUGAUCUCACACCUAUAUAGAAUGCAAGAGAGAUUCUGUUACUUUGGAGAAGCGUACAAGGGAACGUGAGUUUGCAUAGGCAGAUUUACAUCAGCUGUAGGGUUCAGAAUAAUUGAUCAGGCUACAUCGCAACACACAAAUGGAGCGAGUUUGAUCCCACCAAAUAAUUCACUAUGCCAGAAUAUAUGAACCACAAAUCAUGAGCUAUCUGAUAAGUCUCAUGCAAGCAGCGAUGAAGAAUUGAAGAUUUUUUCUCAAAUACGCAGGAGAACUGCAUAUCAUUGCAUUAAGAUAGAAGGAAAAAAAGGCCAAAAUAGCCAUAUGAAGAAUUGAAGAUGACUGGUGCUAGUGUACUAGGCUAGUAUCUUUAUAAAAAAUGAUGGAAUCUAAUAAUAUGAAGUUUUCCUACACUAGUGAAUCUGAUAUUCUAAUUUGACACAAUUGGUUUUUUGUUUAUAUCAUUAGAGGUCGACUAGACAAAUAUAAGAUGUCAGACAUGUUUAUGAAACAUAAUAUAACAAGUAGUAUUGAAGUGUACAUAAUGACAAAAUUUAUUACUUGAGCUCAAGGAAUCCACUCAUUUCAAUUGCACCACAAAAUGAAACUUCACCAUCGCCCUGGGAGAAGUGCAUAUCACCAGUACUAAGAUUUGCUCCUUCAACAAAUACUGGUAGAUAAACUUUGGAACCUCUGCUUAGAUUCUUUAUGUCACAGUUCCCGCCAUUCUCCCUUCCAGGAAUAGUUCUGGCUGCUUCAUUUGCCAUUUUGUGCCAUUCAGCUGUCCCUUUCUGAAUCUGCACAGAAUUGUAUUAAUUAUGAACAUGGCACUUACAAAGAAACAGAUAGCAAGAUAUAAUUCAGAUCUGCUAGACAAUAUCUGCAUAUAGAACUGCAUUACUGGUGCCAUAGGUCAAAAAAAAAAUCAUACAGAUGCGAUUCAACCCUUUGCAGAUUGAAAGACACAAAUCUUGAAGCAAC
rnacentral:lncRNA from 1 species